AAUGAUACAUUAGCAGCCGUCCAAUCAAUUGAUCUAAAUAUUGCAGACGGAGUUUCAAAUACCCCUAAACUUGGAUGCUCUUCCACAGGUCUGCAAUCUACAGGAGCAGAAGUACCACCUUCUUCAGGAUGGAAGUCCAUCUCAUCUCCACUCUGCAUGUCACCUUCCUCAAAUAGCCGAUUAUCUAUGUGCACCAUAUCAUCGACAGGUGUAUAAACUGAUGAUUCUCUAAUAGUGACACCAACCGCAUCAGGAUCAACGAGAGAAAAUUGAUCCUCUGCAUGUCUGAAACUUUGAGUCUCUGGUACAUGCUCAGUGCUCUGAGCUGUUCGAGAU
rnacentral:lncRNA from 1 species